GACGAACGCUGGCGGCGUGCUUAACACAUGCAAGUCGAACGAUGAAGCCUUAGCUUGCUUUGGUGGAUUAGUGGCGAACGGGUGAGUAACACGUGAGCAACGUGCCCAGGACUCUGGAAUAACCGCGGGAAACCGUGGCUAAUACCGGAUAGGUGCCGAGGCCGCAUGGUCUUCGGUUGGAAAGUUUUUGCGGUUCUGGAUCGGCUCACGGCCUAUCAGCUUGUUGGUGGGGUAAUGGCCUACCAAGGCGACGACGGGUAGCCGGCCUGAGAGGGUGACCGGCCACACUGGGACUGAGACACGGCCCAGACUCCUACGGGAGGCAGCAGUGGGGAAUAUUGCACAAUGGGCGCAAGCCUGAUGCAGCAACGCCGCGUGGGGGAUGACGGCCUUCGGGUUGUAAACCUCUUUUAGUAGGGAAGAAGCGCAGGUGACGGUACCUGCAGAAAAAGCACCGGCUAACUACGUG
rnacentral:rRNA from 1 species